UCUGCGUCUCAGGAGGCUGGUGGUUAACAAACGGGUCCAUGACUUUGCAGAGCCAGACAAGUCGUCCCACAUCCGGAGUCUUGUUGUUCUCAACCUGUGGCCAUCCUUUGUAAAACUUGUACUCUGACGAUGAACCUAGACAUUUAAGUGGAAAAUGCAACGUGUCCAAUUAAAAACACAAAGAUUUUAUUAAGGUUGAAUGUGAUGCUGGCCUCUUUUUUUUUUUUUUUUUUUUACAAUGUCAUAUUUUGUCUCAUUGUUUCAUCUACAUCCAAUAAUAUUUUCAUGGUCAGUCUUUCAAUAGGACAUUAACACUCCUUCAUGUAUACAGGUUUGUUCCCAGCCUCUGCAGUGAAGGGAAGUAGAAUUUAUUCAAGGUCUAAGCACUUUAGUCUGCCCAAAUAAAUAAAAAAAUACAUUCAGAAAUAUAUAGAACAUUUUAUCAGCUGUAUUUUUCUCUAUUAUAUUUCUCUUUAUAUUUCUUUCUAAUAUUCUUCUGUGUCAUGGUUUGUUAUAGAACCUACAGAAACAAUUCUGCUAUCAACUGAAUAUUUUGUUACUGGUAAACAUCCAUUCCUUCCAUUUAAACGUUAACCCAGUAACCCCAGUAGAAGUCCAACACAGACCCACACACACAGCUGUGUGUGUGGGUCUGUGUGUGUGUGUGUGUGUGCAGCUUCACACCUUAAUCACGUUAUUCUAUCAAUUACUGGCUCACAUUUGUGGGCAUCAGACUCCAGUUCUUUACACGUGUGUGUCAAAUAUCACAUGAUAUUUGUGUGAUCAGAUCACAGAGGGAUGUUUCUGGCUCCACCUGCCAACCUUUCCCCCCCCCCCUUCUUGACACAACAUGUGAGUUUCCACCACAUGUAAUAUCCACCAUGAGCAACUAAAGGGGCUGUAGAAAAACCACCGGGUCACACCACAUCCACCGCCGCGGUCAUGACGAUGCUUCUCUGUGCUCUACUGAUAAUCUGGGUUAGAACACAACAACUCCGCCCACGCUGGCAUCAGACCACACUGAGCGUCAGUGCUUUUGAAAAAUGGCUGCAAAGCUGUAUGUGAAGACUGGCCAGUGUUAAUCCUCCCUGGUAUGGGUUUCACAGUGUUAAUAUAAAAGCAUUAGUUUAGUCAAAUAAAAUAAAGUUCUUUGGUCAUCGAUUUUAUGUGUCAAACACAUGGCUCGUGUGCCAAAUGUGGCCCGCCAAGUCAUCUCAUACAGUAUUUUUACAGUCGUACAGAUCUACAAUGAUAUUCAGAGUCAUUACAAACUCUGUCCCUAGGUGGUAUCAGUUGAUGAAAAUCUUUUAUUUUUGUCUUUCUUCAAUUCUUUCGACUAUAUCAGUAUUUUGUUCAACUAAACAGGCCCUGGUUUACACACAGAGUAAAUAUGUACAUUGUGAGUUUAGUUUUAUGCUAUUAUUUAAAUGUAUCUGACCAGGAAAUUAGGACUGUACGUCUCUUUAACAGUGUCAUAUAAAAGCUGCAGCACUAAGUCACACCCAAUCUACACAGGGCAAUUUUAAAACAGGACAAAGUGAAACUGAAAUUACAAAACACAAGGUUAUCAGUCAAAACACUCACAGCCUGGAAACAUUUAAGUUGACCUGCUCCCUGUGUUAAAGAACCUUGCUGUACUCCAUGUAAUACUAAGCUCUAUAAAUAAUUCAUAUAUUUUAGUAGCUAUUUUCAACAUGUGCGUCGUACAGUGCAGUGCCUGAGGGGGUGCGCGGCGAUUGGAGCGUCCUCUGCCUUCAUUUGUCCAUUUAAUACAAAAUGUUUUAUUUAUAUUCACGUGUAUUUAAAGAAAUUGUAGUGGUCCCAGAAUCCAUGUUGAAGGCCUCUGACCUAUAUCGUGUAAAAGCCCACUGUUUAAAAUGUGCAUCUUGCUUCUGUUGUUGUAUUCGUGAAAAAUGCUGCCACCUAGAGGCCAAAUACUGACAACAGUCAUCUUUUCUGGCGUUCAGCUGAAAAAUGUCAAAUGUAAAAAAUGAAGAAAUAAUAAUAAUAAUAAUAAUAAUAAUAAUAAUAAUAAUAAUGGAGAGAGAGAAAAAAACAUGUAAUGAAACACCAAAAUUAACCAGUACCAGAAGUAGAUAGCAUUGAAGAUGUGGGUGUACAAUUUUAUAAAAAACUUUUUUUUUUUAAUCUUUGCUGUGUCUGUAGUUCUAUUACUGUGUGGUCUGUCUGUCUCACUGCUCUCCUGUCUGUCUGCUGUGUUCAUCAGUGUCAUCACACUCACCUGUGUCCUGUCAUCAGUCUCACUGGUGUCCUGGGUAUAAACACCUCUGCCCAUCACUUCUUCAGGUUGUUGGACUUCAUUGUUUCAUUGAAGGUCCUUCUCUGCUGUGAAUGAAGAACCGUUACUAGUGCUGAAUUUUUGGGAGAGGUUGAUCUUCGUCGAGAACACUGCUCCACUCCACAGGCAGCUGCAGAGGAAACGCUCUCUGCUGGGUCCCAACACCCACACCUGCAACCGGAUACUGUACCCCCACCACCUCCCCCGAUGUUCAACAACUGCAGUGGCAUCAGCAGCAGCCACAGCAGCAGCAGAGGAACAUACGUGUACAUAGGAUUCUGCUCUGAUAGUCAGGUCAGUUUCAUCUUGGCAUUUUCACUGUCUCAUUUCCAGCUCAGUUCAGUUUCUGAUUUUGGAGGUGUGCACAAUACAGUUAGGAGAUGUAGAAAAAAACACAAUGUUCUCAGGAUCCUGUGUUUCCUGACGAAGAUGUCAAUCAGCCCUUUCAGGUCCACCCUUGGAUUCCACUCAGAGGGGAAAUGCCUCGCUAAUGUCCAGCCCUGCCCGGCUCCUCUACGCACUGAGACGUCUGCUUGUCUCGUCCCCUUUAAUCUCUGACACAGAUUUUUCAAGAUAACAGGCUGUAAAUCCAUCGCUGAUUGAAUUCAAGUAGAAAGGGUCAUUUCCAAGGCAUUGAUCUCCUGCUUAAUAAACAGACUCCAUGGAGCCUCCAUUGCAUUAGUGAAACACACACACAGAGCAGAGAUAACCUGGCUUAGAAUAAACCCACUUCCACUCAUAUCAAGACAGGAAUCACAGUGAAAUGCUUUGUCAAUAGCUGCAGUAGGUGAAGCAGCCGGUGUGUACGUCAGAGGCCUCGCUUCGACCUGACCUUUUUAUGAACAUGUUGCUUUAACUAAAAAUCUGAGGUAUUAACAGUGUCUCACACAGGUGGACCUAAACAAGGAACUGUCCCAAUCAGCAACAUUCCCACUAUUCCGACCAGUCACUGCUGUCGAGAUGCAGCAGUGACCAUUAGCACAGUGACAACCUACAGUACUGGAUGACUCAGACGACAAAGUGCAUUUAGACUCUCAAGGAAUGUCGUUGUAAUGUGCGUCAGAAGAACUUGUGAUGAAAAGAAGAAGAAAGAACCAGAAGGAAGUAAAUGGUUGGAAUCGGUUAUAAAACAAGAAAUGAAGAGUUUCAGACCAACUUCACUGGCCUAGAAUUCAGUCUUUCAACCACACAGUUGUUCACCAGAAGAAGAAGAAUCUUUUUUUUACUGUACGUAUACACACACAUUUACACACAAUUAAAUUUGUCCUCCACAUUGAACCCAUCGACCCAUUCCUGGGGUGCAGUGAUCACUGGAAAUGCCCAGGGUUGUCACAUCCUCUGUUUCACACACUCCAGUCCAGGUCCAGUUUUCUAAUCAAUAUAUCUGAUAGACUUGUUAUUGAUCAUUCCUGUCUGGAGGACAAGAUUUAAUAGAUUUAUUUUUCAACCUGGGUUCAAGUACCCGCCUAUAAAAAAGGUCACAAAAUAAUGGUCGAAAGUCAUUCAUUUUACUCUUGGACAUUUUUCUAUCAAUAUUGUUUUGAAGUUCAACUUUGGUUUCCUUCUGUUUUUAUUAGAUUUUUGUAGCAGAGAGAGGAUUGGUGCAUGAGCAAGGCAGUGAUAAACCAACGAUCAACUGCCUUAAGCUUUGUGCCCAUGUACUGUAUGUGCCCAACCCACUAAUUUGAAAUCAAUUGUCAUGGAUGACUUGUUGUCAGUGACUGUUCUCUAACUCGUUUGAUUAUAUUAAUAAGAAAUAUAACAGUCUUCAAAGGUCUGUUGGAUUUAAACCUUUCACCCAGUUUUGUCAUACACUCUGAUAAGAAUGGCAAAAAAUCUCCUUGUUGGGUUUCAUCGGGCCUUAAAUCAGGUCAAAUGUCCUCCUGUGUGGGGCACGUAUGACUAACAGUUUUUAAUGUCAUGUGAACUGAUUUUUAUGGCUUCAUCAGUAUUACCACCCCUAUUCCGCUUUUACUUCAGAACCGCCCACUCCCCCACAGACCGGCCUUAUCAAGCAACAUCAGGACUUCCUGAUCAAAGCAAAGGAGUUGUACAGAUAAAAUUAAAUGGGAUACUUUUGUCCAAAAAAAAAGGAAGGAAAGAAGAAAGGAAAGGGGGGAGGAAGAAAGGAAGGACAGAAAAGAUUACGGCCCUCAACAAAAUGGGAAUGUGUCUCUUCACAGUUAACUUAGGUGGAGUUCAAUCUGAAGGGAAAUCACAAGACAAGAAACUGAAACUCAAACCUCCCACAUUGUGCACUUUCUGUGUCACUUAUUUGAGGAAGCAGACAAUGUGUGAGUCACUUCCCUGGUUCUGUUAAGCCAUGGCAUAGUAAGGAGGUAAAGUGUCAAAACCAAUGACCGUCAACAAUGGACCACUGUGUAGGUUUGUAAAAAUGUUUAUAACAAUAGCACCAUGACUGAUUUACCUCAAUGACAAUUCAGCAGUUCAUUAAAAUCCUAACAUAUGGGUUC